rnacentral:rRNA from 1 species
GAGUAACACGUGGGUAACCUGCCCAUAAGACUGGGAUAACUCCGGGAAACCGGGGCUAAUACCGGAUAACAUUUUGAACUGCAUGGUUCGAAAUUGAAAGGCGGCUUCGGCUGUCACUUAUGGAUGGACCCGCGUCGCAUUAGCUAGUUGGUGAGGUAACGGCUCACCAAGGCAACGAUGCGUAGCCGACCUGAGAGGGUGAUCGGCCACACUGGGACUGAGACACGGCCCAGACUCCUACGGGAGGCACCAGUAGGGAAUCUUCCGCAAUGGACGAAAGUCUGACGGANCAACGCCGCGUGAGUGAUGAAGGCUUUCGGGUCGUAAAACUCUGUUGUUACGGAANAACAANUGCUACUUGAAUANNCUGGNNCCUUGAUGGUACCUAUGCANAAAGGCUGGNUAANUACNUGCCUACCGCCACGNNAAUACGNNNGUGGCAAGCGUUUCC